UACAGAGGGUGCAAGCGUUAAUCGGAAUUACUGGGCGUAAAGCGUGCGUAGACGGUUAUUUAAGUCAGGUGUGAAAGCCCCGGGCUCAACCUGGGAAUUGCAUUUGAGACUGAAUAGCUAGGGUGCGGAAGAGGGAAGCGGAAUUUCCGGUGUAGCGGUGAAAUGCGUAGAUAUCGCUUGGAACGCCGAAGGUGAAAACAGGCUGCUGGGGUUGCGCCGACGCUGAGACACGAAAGCCAGGGGAGCAAACGGG
rnacentral:rRNA from 1 species